GCAGUGUAAGGAGACAUAAGAGGUGUAGAAUAAGUGGGAGAUAUUAGACCUCGGUUUGGUAUCGUCAAUGAAAUACCACUACUCUUAUUGUUUCCUUACUUACUUGAUUAAAUGGAACGUGUAUCAUUUCCUAGCCAUUAUACGGAUAUAUUUAUUAUAUCUUAUGGUAUUGGGUUUUGAUGCAAGCUUCUUGAUCAAAGUAUCACGAGUUUGUUAUAUAAUCGCAAACAAAUUCUUUAAUAAAACGAUGCAUUUAUGUAUUUUUGAUUUGAAAAUUUGGUAUAACUCCAAUUACUCAGGUAUGAUCCAAUUCAAGGACAUUGCCAGGUAGGGAGUUUGACUGGGGCGGUACAUCUCUCAAAUAAUAACGGAGGUGUCCCAAGGCCAGCUCAGUGCGGACAGAAACCACACAUAGAGCAAAAGGGCAAAUGCUGACUUGAUCUCGGUGUUCAGUACACACAGGGACAGCAAAAGCUCGGCCUAUCGAUCCUUUUGGUUUAAAGAGUUUUUAACAAGAGGUGUCAGAAAAGUUACCAUAGGGAUAACUGGCUUGUGGCGGCCAAGCGUUCAUAGCGACGUCGCUUUUUGAUCCUUCGAUGUCGGCUCUUCCUAUCAUUGUGAAGCAAAAUUCACCAAGCGUUGGAUUGUUCACCCAUGCAAGGGAACGUGAGCUGGGUUUAGACCGUCGUGAGACAGGUUAGUUUUACCCUACUAAUGACAAAACGUUGUUGCGACAGCAUUCCUGCGUAGUACGAGAGGAACCGGCAGGUUACGGACCAAUGGCACAAUACUUGUUCGAGCGAACAGUGCUAUGACGCUACGUCCGUUGGAUUAUGCCUGAACGCCUCUAAGGGUCGUAUCCGUGCUGGACUGCAAUGAUAAUAAGGGGCAAUUUGCAUUGUAUGGCUUCUAAACCAUUUAAAGUUUAUAAUUUAUUUUAUAAGCGACAAUGGAUGUGAUGCCAAUGUAAUUUGUAACAUAGUAAAUUAGGAGGAUCUUCGAUCACCUGAUGCCGCGCUAGUUACAUAUAAAAGCAUUAUUUAAUACAAUGACAAAGCCUAGAAUCAAUUGUAAACGACUUUUGUAACAGGCAAGGUGUUGUAAGUGGUUGAGCAGCUGCCAUACUGCGAUCCACUGAAGCUUAUCCUUUGCUUGAUGAUUCGA
rnacentral:ncRNA from 1 species